rnacentral:rRNA from 1 species
CGGGGGGGGGGGCAAGCGUUGUUCGGAAUUACUGGGCGUAAAGGGCGCGUAGGCCGUCCUGCAAGUCCUCCGUGAAAUCCCACAGCUCAACUGUGGAAUUGCGAGGGAAACUGCAGGACUUGAGUUCGGGAGAGGAGAGUGGAAUUCCCAGUGUAGCGGUGAAAUGCGUAGAUAUUGGGAGGAACACCGGUGGCGAAGGCGGCUCUCUGGACCGACACUGACGCUGAGGCGCGAAAGCUAGGGGAGCAAACGGGAUUAGAUACCCCGGUAGUCCUAGCCCUAAACGAUGAGCACUUGGUGUGGCGGGUAUCGACCCCUGCCGUGCCGAAGCUAACGCAUUAAGUGCUCCGCCUGGGGAGUACGGUCGCAAGGCUG